GUCUAUGGCCAUGCCACUCUGAACAAGCCUGAUCCCGUUUGAUCUUGGAAGCUAAGCAAGGUCGAGCCUGGUUAGUAUUUGGCUGGGAGACCACCUAGAAAGACCAGAUGCUACAGGUA
rnacentral:rRNA from 1 species